rnacentral:tRNA from 1 species
GCGGUCGUGGUGGAACGGCAGACACGCUAUCUUGAGGGGGUAGUGCCCAUCGGGUGUGAGGGUUCAAAUCCCUCCGACCGCA